AAAGAGAUGGCUAAUUAUUCUUGUGAGUGUUGAGGGUGUUAUGUCUCCCCAAAAUUCUGAUGUUGAAAUCCUAACCCCCAGUGUGAUGGUAUUUGGAGACAGGGCCUUGGGAGAUAAUUUGUGUUAGAUGAGAUCAUAAGGAUGGGGCUCCCAUAAAGGGAUGAAUGCCCUUGUAAGAAGAGACGCUGUAGGAUGUGCUCUCCCUCUUUUUCUUUCUAACAUGAGGACACAGCAAGAAGGUGGCUGUCUACAAGACAGGAAAAGAGCCCUCACCAGGAACUGAUUCUGCCAGUGCCUUGAUCUUCAACAUCCCAGCCUCUGGAACUGGAGACGCACAAAGAUGUUCGGUCCUUUCCUUCUGAAGGCUGGACAGUUCUGUGUGACGCACACACAUAUUUCUAAGCGUUUUGCAGCACUGUGACAUUGCUUAAUGCAACUCACAGGGGUGUGAAGGGCUGAAAAGACCUUUGAGUGAAGUCAGCCUUUGACCAGAGAAUCCCUAAGCCAUGGAUUCUUUCUGGCUUUGGAAGAUGGGACAGAAGAUGUAGAUGGUUAACCAUCCCCCAAGGAUGGAGGAUCUCACUACCCUUCACACCCAGGGAUGACCUCAUCAUUAGCUCUAAUAUGAAGUCUAAUGCUUCCAGUUGCAUAAGUUGGGGCAAAGUACUUACUCUCUCUAGGGUUCACAUUUUUCAUGGUAAAUGAUGUCUAUGAUAGAGGGGUUACUGCUGGGACUAAAGACAGAAAACAGGCCAACGGCAUUCUCCAGUGGCUUACAGACAAGCAGUGCCUGAUGUAUUUUGGGUCCUCCAUAUCACUUUUUAAAAAAAUUAUGGUAAGAACACUUAACAUGAGAUCUGCCCACUUAAGAAAUGUCUAAGUGUACAACACAGUAUUGUUAUCUAUAGGUACAACGUUGUACCGCAGAUCUAUAGAACUUGCUCGUCUUGCCUAACUGCAACUUUAUGCCCUUUGAAUAGCAACACAUCAAUUUCCUCCCACUCUCAACCCCCGGCAACCACCUUUCUACUCUCGCUCCUGUGAGUUUGACUAUUUUAGAUGCCUCAUGCUACAUUUGUCUUUCUGUAACUGGCUUAUUUCACUAAACACAGUGUCAUCCAGGUUCAUCCAUUCUGCUGCAUAUUUCAUGGUUUCCUUUUUUGUUCAGGCUGAAUAAUAUUCUAUUGUAUGAAUAUACCAUAUUUUCUUUAUCCAUUUUUUUUUUUUUUUUUGUGAGAUAGAGCCUCACUCUGUCAACCCAGGCUGGAGAGUAGUGGUAUGAUCUCGGCUCACUGAAACCUCUGCCUACUGGGUUCAAGCAAUUCUCCUGCCUCAGCCUCCUAAGUAGCUGAAACUACAAGUGCACACCACCACAUCCAGCUAAUCUUUGUAUUUUUAGUAGAGAUGAGGUUUCACCAUGUUGGCCAGGCUAGUCUCAAACUCCUGACCUCAGGUGAUCCACCCAUCUCGACCUCCCAAAGUUCUGGAAUUACAGGCAUGAGCCACCACGCCCGGCUUCCUUCCACUCUUUCAGCAAUGGACAUUUAGGUUAUCUCUAUACCUUGGCUAUUGUGAGUAGUGAUGCAAUGAACACGGGAGAGCAAAUAUCUCUCUGAGGUCUUGAUUUUGAUGAUUUUGGAUAAAUACCCAGAAGUGGGAUUGCUUCCACUGGUAGUUCUAUUUUUAAUUUUUUUCGUUGUCCUCCACAGAUUUCUCUAACACAUGCUUCUAACUUCAAAUUUCUUUACUCAUAGCACGGAUUCCAGUACCGAUCCACUCUCAAUGCUGCCCAUUUCUGUAUUUUUCUGACAAUUUCCAAGUAUUUUAUGAAUAAGUAUCUCUUUUCUUGGCUAAUGGAUAGAACUGAAAUUGCUUUAUAACUACCAGUGGUGACUGUGAUGGGAAGGAUGACAGCUGAUGCUAAAAAAUUAACACUGAACUUCAGAGUGGUAGCAAAAAAAUGAGGGUUAUUUCAGAAACCACAAUUUAUAAACAACAGACUUCCUAACAGGCUAGAACAAUAAGAAAGUAAAAUUGUGGAUCCCCAUCCUUUCAGUGUUGGUUUGUUUUUGUUUUAUUAUAAUUAUAUAAUAAAUAUUACACUUUCAUUUUAUAUACAGAAAUGUGAAUAUUUAAAUUUUAUUAUAAUAGAAUCUUUAAUAAAAUCAACAAAUAUAGUACACUGGAACAAAUACACCUAUCUCAGAAAACACAUUGAGGGCAGAAAGAAUAUUCACUUAUAAGUGCAAUCAGUGCCUUCAAUUAUAGUUGAGUUCCAAAGAUAUAAAAUGUAAAAUGUAACUAUAUCAUAUAUGAUGGUUUGCUUCCUGUGAAAUCCACUCAUUAAUACCUUAAAGGCCUUCCCGUGAUCCUGUUUAAUAAUAUAUUCUUAAAAGGGUGUUAUUCUCUGCAACACACAUUUUUAAUUCUGGAUAUUUAAAAAAACAAACUCAACAUUUUUCUUGGCAUUUUUUGCAAAUGAAUUGGAGUUCAUUCAGACAUUCAAUUCAGUAAAAACAAAAAACACAUACAUUUCUGCAGAGCCACAGUUGAAGAGCAUGGGCUUAGGAGAGCAGACCCCCGGGUCUGGUCCCAGUUCUCCUGCCCCUCCCCAGCUUACUGUGUCACCUUGGCUGUCCCAAGAUGUGAGUUCCUCCUUGGAGAUGCAGUUCACAGCCAGAGUGAUCGCUAAGCUUCCUCCCUGCAUUAAAAUUCUAUUAUUCUAAGUCUUUCUCACUUCUCUGGAAUUUCCUGUGAUAUGGAUGCUUGCAAUUAUUACACCUCUGACAAUUGAUGCCAAUAAAAAAGCAUCUACAACAUCGGACAAUGA
rnacentral:lncRNA from 1 species